rnacentral:rRNA from 1 species
CAGUAGCCGCGGGAAUACGGAGGGAGCUAGCGUUGUUCGGAAUUACUGGGCGUAAAGCGCACGUAGGCGGCUAUUCAAGUCAGAGGUGAAAGCCCGGGGCUCAACCCCGGAACUGCCUUUGAAACUAGAUAACUAGAAUCUUGGAGAGGUCAGUGGAAUUCCGAGUGUAGAGGUGAAAUUCGUAGAUAUUCGGAAGAACACCAGUGGCGAAGGCGACUGACUGGACAAGUAUUGACGCUGAGGUGCGAAAGCGUGGGGAGCAAACAGGAUUAGAUACCCCAGUAGUCCUGUCUCUUAUACA